UACGUAGGUGGCAAGCGUUGUCCGGAAUUAUUGGGCGUAAAGCGCGCGCAGGCGGUUCUUUAAGUCUGAUGUGAAAGCCCACGGCUCAACCGUGGAGGGUCAUUGGAAACUGGGAGAACUUGAGUACAGAAGAGGAAAGCGGAAUUCCGGGUGUAGCGGUGGAAUGCGUAGAGAUCCGGAAGAACACCCGGUGGCGCAAGGCGGCUAGCUCGUGGGAUCGGUACUGGACGCUGAGACGCGAAAGCGUGGG
rnacentral:rRNA from 1 species